rnacentral:rRNA from 1 species
CCUACGGGGGGCAGCAGUGAGGAAUAUUGGUCAAUGGACGCGAGUCUGAACCAGCCAAGUCGCGUGAAGGAUGACUGCCCUAUGGGUUGUAAACUUCUUUUAUAUGGGAAUAAAACAGGGUAUGCAUACCCUCUUGUAUGUACCAUAUGAAUAAGGCUCGGCUAACCCCGUGCCAGCCGCCGCGGUAAUACGGAGGAUCCGAGCGUUAUCCGGAUUUAUUGGGUUUAAAGGGAGCGUAGGUGGAUUGUUAAGUCAGUUGGGAAAGUUUGGGGCUCAACCGUAAAAUUGCAGUUGAAACUGGCAGUCUUGAGUAGAAUAGAGGUGGGCGGAAUGCGUGGUGUAGCGGUGAAAUGCAUAGAUAUCACGAAGAACUCCGAUUGCGAAGGCAGCACACUGGACUGCGACUGACACUGAUGCACGAAAGUGUGGGGAUCAAACAGGAUUAGAUACCCCUGUAGUC